AACGAACGCUGGCGGCAUGCCUAACACAUGCAAGUCGAACGAGACCUUCGGGUCUAGUGGCGCACGGGUGCGUAACGCGUGGGAACCUGCCCUUAGGUUCGGAAUAACUCCCCGAAAGGGGUGCUAAUACCGGAUAAUGUCUUCGGACCAAAGAUUUAUCGCCUUUGGAUGGGCCCGCGUUGGAUUAGCUAGUUGGUAGGGUAAAAGCCUACCAAGGCGAGGAUCCAUAGCUGGUCUGAGAGGAUGAUCAGCCACACUGGGACUGAGACACGGCCCAGAAUCCUACGGGAGGCAGCAGUGGGGAAUAGUGGACAGUGGGCGAAAGCCUGAUCCAGCAAUGCCGCGUGAGUGAUGAAGGCCUUAGGGUUGUAAAGCUCUUUUACCCGGGAUGAUAAUGACAGUACCGGGAGAAUAAGCUCCGGCUAACUCCGUG
rnacentral:rRNA from 1 species